UCCCGCCCUGCCUAAAGCCACGCCCCCAGCCGGCUGGUGGGCCAGACCUUAACUCCCCGCGUGCGCCCUCACCAGGCUGAUUAAUUGCGCUAGGCUGAGACCAACGCUGACCCCGACGCGGUCUCCCACCUCCCGCGCCGGCCUCACCGAGCUAUCAUAGCCCGAGAAAAGUUUCUCACGGAGUCGGCCCUCCGCUUCCGAGCCGCGGGCGCCUGGAGGAGGAGAGAACUGAGUGAAGCUCUGGUUCCUGGCCACGACCUCUGGCCCUGUCACUGCCCCUUUGAGGCCCAGACUUACCCGGGGCGAACGGCGCCCCCAACGCCCCCAGCAGCAGCAGCAGCAGCAGCAGCGCCCCUGGUGUCAUAGCCCGCCCGCGUCGCUCAGUGAGUCCGCUUGGAUGAGCCGCCAGGACAGCCAGCGCAGGGGAAGUGACGAGGCGCCCAGGAAUGUGCACCUGUUAUUGGGGGGCAGCCCACCCGCCCCGCCCCGCCCCUGCGACUUGAUCCCUCCCCGAGCAACUGCCAAAGCCUGCUACCCACAGAUGGCAGACAACACUUCAAUUGUAUAAAUCGUCUUUAAUUGAGAAAGCAUGGAGUGGAGACCGGUCCCCUGGGAGCAGAGCCUUUUUGGGUACCUAACAUCCAGCUGAGGCCCAGGUACCAGGACCGGCCAGAACGACGCUGGCGAUAGAGAGCAGAGGCGUACAGGACAUAGUAAUUCUCAGAGACGCACUCCUUAAAGCGACACUCAGCUGUGAAAUGUGGCUGAGGAGACAAAGACCCAGAAAGGCACACACAGACAGAAAGACAAAAAGACGCAUCACUGAACAGAAGGGAGCCCUGGGAAGAACAAGGCAGGAUAUAAUCCAUACGUUUGAGACUGGGAGAGCCAACUUCUGAGCCCACGCAGGAACUGGGAGAAAGGGAGGAUGAGGAAGAGUCUGGUGGCCCCCGAGGGCCAGGAACUAGACUUCUGGGGGCCUGGAAUAAGAAGAUAACUUCUCUCUGCUCUACUCCCAACCUCUCACCAUCCAGGGGACCUGGAGAGAAUUUCUGCUUGGAGGAGUUCCUGAAUCCUUCCCCAGUAUCCUGAAUGACUCUGGGGAAGUGAGUAAUAAUGAGGUCUAGAGGAGGUUGGAGAAGACACAGGGGUUCUAAAAGGUUGAAAGAGUUGGACAUUCAAAGAGCCUGGGGGUGUUUAGGAGGCUAUUGGAGGAGAAGGGAUUGGAGGGACCCUAGAGGAGGUGCUUGGGAGCGGGCAGUGAGGACAGGGUGUCGGCAAGAGCUGGAGGGAGAGGAGGCCCUGAGCUGCAAAAUAUCUGUAGUUGGGAAGGCUGUAGCUAGGGGAGUCCCCUGACUCCAGGCCACUCUGCCCCCUUGUCUCACCGAGCUGUAGAGCAGCCCCUCAGCGUUCAUGGCCAUGUAGUGACCCAGCUUGGCACUCUGGAUGGUGACUACACGGAGCCCCACAGGGAUCAGGUUGAAGUGGGCUGGGGGUGGAGAGAAGAGGUAUCAGUACCCCAAGCCUCCAAUCCCCAUCUGAGCCCCCCCUCAAUUCUGGUCCCAGUUCUACUUCUUCCUUUGCGGGGUCAAAGAGCCAGACUGAAAACAACAGAACCUGAAGCCACAAUAGGAUUGUCAUCUCCUAUGCCUGCUCUCCCCCUUCCCACCCAGCAGCUGGCUUCCCCUCUCACUGAAAGAGCUGGUGUCCUCUGGGGUGCCCUGGAUACUCCCGUCGGGAUUCGCCUGGAGGUAGAAACCCUGGCAGCAGAACAGUUUGGUGACGAUGCCUUUGAGCUGAGGCUCUGGAGAAAGAGACAUUCAUCUUGGAACAUGACAUCUCUGUUCCCAGAAACAUUGCUACACUUGGCGGGAUCAGAGGAGAGAAAGAAAGGAGGAUGGAGGGAAGGAAGAGGGUCCCAGGGCCCCAGCUCCCUGACCCUCUAAGCAAGGUCUCUCCCACCUCUCUUUGACUCCAGAGGAAGCUGGGGUGUGGGUCCCUUCUGCUUCCUCUAACCAGCUUUCAGUUUAAUUGAUUGAAAUUUA